AUGCACGCUGGCGGCGUGCCUAAUACAUGCAAGUCGAGCGAACAGACGAGGAGCUUGCUCCUCUGACGUUAGCGGCGGACGGGUGAGUAACACGUGGAUAACCUACCUAUAAGACUGGGAUAACUUCGGGAAACCGGAGCUAAUACCGGAUAAUAUAUUGAACCGCAUGGUUCAAUAGUGAAAGACGGUUUUGCUGUCACUUAUAGAUGGAUCCGCGCCGCAUUGGCUAGUUGGUAAGGUAACGGCUUACCAAGGCAACGAUGCGUAGCCGACCUGAGAGGGUGAUCGGCCACACUGGAACUGAGACACGGUCCAGACUCCUACGGGAGGCAGCAGUAGGGAAUCUUCCGCAAUGGGCGAAAGCCUGACGGAGCAACGCCGCGUGAGUGAUGAAGGUCUUCGGAUCGUAAAACUCUGUUAUUAGGGAAGAACAAAUGUGUAAGUAACUAUGCACGUCUUGACGGUACCUAAUCAGAAAGCCACGGCUAACUACGUG
rnacentral:rRNA from 1 species